UCUACAGCAUAAUGAUCAGAAAAGAAAAAAGGAUCAGAAAAACAUGUAUAAAUUCAGAAUUUCACCAUUUCGGGGGCUUAAGACUCUACAGAACUAUGGAAUCUCACACACUGCCUGCGCUGCAGCACCCUGGUAUAUACCAGGUCCACCACAUUGCUCAGACAAAACAGAACAUCCUGAGGUGUAAAGAGGCAGAAAAUCUGCUACGCACCUUGACGGGUUGCUCUCAAAGCUAAUAAAAAUAAGUUAGAUAUAUCUUUUUACAUGACAGGAAGCAAAGGCAGGGAGCUCCUUCCCCAGCUGACGUGCCUAUAUUUAUGUAACAUUGCAGAAGCAAGAAACGGUCUCCCUUUUCCCUCCUCUCACCACCACCAAUAUUGCAGGAAAAAAAAUCUACCAAAGAGACCCUUCUCGCCCUGCUGAAGGACUCCUGGAUUGUCAUCAUCCUCCUCCACAUCCUUUUAGGAUACUGUUCCCCUCUUAGAAACACGAGAUCUGCAUUUCCCAUCCCUCGGCACACAGGACAAUGGACUGCUGGUAUCUCCUGCACUACACCUGGGACCUAUUAAAAUGUUACUGGUGAACUUCACUUCAACCCAAGAAGGACUUGCCAGUAGUCUGUCCCGGUUCUUUUAAGUGUUCUCCUUUAAAUCCUUCAGGAGAACCAGCAGGAGCUUCCCCAAAGCGACAUGCACCAGUUUCUGCCUCAACAUUACCAAAAUUCAUAUCAACACUACUUUUGCCUUCCCUUCUCCCCUUCCUUUGUGCUUUUCCUGUGAGAAAUCUCAGCCUCGCUCAUUGCCAGGAGUUCUUCUGUAGUCUAUUGUUGUCGCUUACUAGAUCUUUCCUACUGAAAACUUUCAAAGACAAAAAUAACUCAGAGUGUUGCCACAACACAUAAAAAAAAGCUGAAUGAGUUUGAGCAGGAUCCCUCUGUAGUUCAGGAAUUUCGGAGUCUGAGAUUAGUGGAGACUGGUAGGAAAACCAGAAUAAAUUGUAAUUAUUUAUUAAAGAUCAAAGUUCUUUAUUUUUGUUGGCUUCGUCUUGCUAAAUGAUCACAUGAAAAUAUUACAUGGGGUUUUACAUGAAAACCAAAAGACUUACCUGAAUUCAUAGCCUAAAUGAAGGUCAGAAGCAGGUACCAAGAGAACACCUGCAAGAACAGCCUCCAAGAACCAGUGCAGCAUCUCCCCGCAGCAGCUAACUUAUUCCUCUGUUCAUUGAUUGGUCAUAUAUGGUAUAUAUGACCCACAGUAAAUUCAGGAUACAACAGUCUAUUACUUUAAUCUCAUGCUGGCAUGAAAACUGAGUUUCAGUACUAUCCUUACUUAAUUUGAACAUACAUGCCAAAUACUUCAUCAAAAUAGUUAUCCUCAAAUUUGAUUAUAUAUCUUUUUUUAUAUUAUAUUUUUAUAUAUUUAUAUUUUUAUAUAUUUUUAUAGUACUCUUCCUUUUACUUGAUACAUCUUCAUCCUGCUAUAUCAAUACAUCACAGAAUUUAUUAUCCUAAUUAUAAAAAAAUCCCCUCAUGUUGAAUUGUCCAUAUGAGAAUAUCUCACAUUCAUCAGAUUCUAAAUCACCAAAACUCAUUUUGCUUUUGCAAUUGAAAAGCCGAAUAUUUCACGCAUGUUAACAGAACUAAAACCCUUGCUAGCAUGAUUUUAGACGAACCUUCAGACUGAACUGCCCCGCUAGUUCUUAUUUUACUUAGUCUGAUACAGUUUGUACAGUCAUCAUGAGGUAUCCUACAGAACAAAUUUCUCGCAUAUAUAUAGGUUUAUAUAUAAACCCAUAUGUGAGUUUACAUAAAUGGUACUUAAACAAUGAAGAUUUUAAUCACUAUUUUUCUGAAACCUUGCAUUCAGUUAUUAUUUUUACCACAUUUUGAUUUUAUGCCACUUCAAAAAAUUUGUAGUUCAACCCAGUACAGGGAAUUUGCACAAGAAACCUUGGGGUGGGGUGGUAUUAAUGUCAUUCUGCUAAUUAUGGGGCUUAUUCUUCAAGACUGAAAUGUUCUCUCUCCAGAAGAGUAACCGACAGCAACCCUUGCACUUCACCCUGUGCUCAGCACUUCCAUAGCUGAACACAGAGACCUCCAUAUUCAUGACAAUGAAAUAAUUCAUACCUUGACUGACAAAAGGAGACUUUAACCCACUUUUGGCAGAGAUAUAUUUUAUUUUAGAUGUCAGAAACUGGAAUUCUGCUCCCUUACCCCCAGUUCAGAAGAAACAUAGCUACGCGAACUCCUCCUUGCUUUGCUCCCGGACCUCAAGAGCUCCCUCCUUGGACCCCUCUGAGUCCAGUUCCCAAAAAGCUUUUACCAGCAGUAACUGCAGCUCUUGGCCAUGAUUUUGCAUCUCAGAGGAGCUCCAUCUCUGGGUGAUCACCACAGCACCCACCAGAACACAAAUGUGAUCCCAACUCUGUCUUCUUUAGGAAAUUGGGGAGGAAAUAUUCUUCCUAAGAGGUAACACCUCCUGGGAGCACAGCAGCUCACCAAACUAAUUUCAAAGUCAGACUGCAUGAUCAGCCUUGAGUUUCUCUGCAGCUAAGACCUUCAAGUGAGUUAUUGAACUAAAUCAUACUACUUAACAAGUUUCCAUACAUAAAUAAUUGUCAUUAAUAGUAAACGCGGAGUCUUCAGUGUCCAGGCGGGGCUCAACAGUAGGCAAACACUGACACAUACCCAUGAUGAAUGUGGAGAUUUCUAAAUUACACUUAUGAAAGGUAUCUAUCACUCAGUUCAUCCACACACUGAUACACUCUGUGACAGAAGGGUUAAAAUCCUUUCGCUAGGAGAGAAGACCGAAAAAGCAAUAGCUAACACCUGGCAGAUCAAGUCCCAGCUGACACUAACUAGUUUUCUAAACUAAUCAUCACAGCACGUGAUCAUCUAAGUAUUACUUUUCAUCAUCUGUAAGUACAUGCAAAGAGAUUUAAGACAUGAAACAUGUAUCUGGCUGAGGAUUCGGCUGCUCCACAUAUACCAAGGCUGACAAAACCACGGCCGUGUCUGAUGGAGAAGCAGGUAAUGCUGCCAGCACAGACAAAAGUUCUUCAACGCUGCAGCCCAAGAACAGAACGUGCUGCAUUCGAGGUGACUAAUAAACAUUGGCUUGUUUUGAAAAGGUCACCAUGUGUUGCGGUAAGAGUCCCCCUCUCUGCAUACCUCCCCACGAGCCCAAAUCUUGCUUGGGAGUUUAAGUUCUUUUGCUGGAAAAAUGGUGAUAAAAACAAGCGGCUGAAGCCAGCACCCCAGUCUGUGAUCAUGGGGUUCAUCCUUGAGGAGAUAAAUAAAAAAGAAGGAAGGAGGAGCUGAAGCUAAAAAAACAGGAGACCAUAUAACAAUCAGGAACACAGUACUCUCUCUGGCACGCUGACAAUCACCUGGAAAGAUUGCAUUACUUGGCAAACAGAAAACGGAAUACUUUCCACUCCUACCCUGUAUUCCUUUUUGGUGCUUCACUCUAUCACAUUGCUCUGCCUCUUCACCCUUUUCCUAUUCUUGUUCCAUUUCUUUGCUACUAGAGGCAUCUUCGUCAAACAAAAAGUUUGUGGAAACAUCCGAGAACCUGUAAACGUCAAUUUAGAACAAUUUGGUCUUCAAAGUUUUUAAGAAAACACAAGAAAACUGAUAUCUAGGAUAGAUAUUCAUGGAAUUCAUCAAACUUUAACUUGUGGUCCACUAAAAUCUUGAUUAAUGCUUAAAUAAGACCUUUAACAGAUAAAGUUUGGAGUUGUUAUAAAUCUCAGUCUCACAAAAGCUUUAUGUGGAAUUUUAAAAUAUAAUAAUCAGAUUAUAUUUUCUUCUGUCAUGUCAUUUUGGC